rnacentral:rRNA from 1 species
UACAGAGGGGGCAAGCGUUGUUCGGAAUUACUGGGCGUAAAGGGCGCGUAGGCGGCCUGUUAAGUCGAACGUGAAAUCCCUGGGCUCAACCCAGGAACUGCGUCCGAUACUGGCAGGCUUGAAUUCGGGAGAGGGAUGCGGAAUUCCAGGUGUAGCGGUGAAAUGCGUAGAUAUCUGGAGGAACACCGGUGGCGAAGGCGGCAUCCUGGACCAAUAUUGACGCUGAGGAGCGAAAGCCAGGGGAGCAAACGGG